rnacentral:rRNA from 1 species
AUGCAAGUCGAACGAUGAACCNUUCGGUGGGGAUUAGUGGCGAACGGGUGAGUAACACGUGGGCAAUCUGCCCUUCACUCUGGGACAAGCCCUGGAAACGGGGUCUAAUACCGGAUACUGACCCUUGCAGGCAUCUGCGAGGUUCGAAAGCUCCGGCGGUGAAGGAUGAGCCCGCGGCCUAUCAGCUUGUUGGUGAGGUAAUGGCUCACCAAGGCGACGACGGGUAGCCGGCCUGAGAGGGCGACCGGCCACACUGGGACUGAGACACGGCCCAGACUCCUACGGGAGGCAGCAGUGGGGAAUAUUGCACAAUGGGCGAAAGCCUGAUGCAGCGACGCCGCGUGAGGGAUGACGGCCUUCGGGUUGUAAACCUCUUUCAGCAGGGAAGAAGCGAAAGUGACGGUACCUGCAGAAGAAGCGCCGGCUAACUACGUGCCAGCAGCCGCGGUAAUACGUAGGGCGCAAGCGUUGUCCGGAAUUAUUGGGCGUAAAGAGCUCGUAGGCGGCUUGUCACGUCGGUUGUGAAAGCCCGGGGCUUAACCCCGGGUCUGCAGUCGAUACGGGCAGGCUAGAGUUCGGUAGGGGAGAUCGGAAUUCCUGGUGUAGCGGUGAAAUGCGCAGAUAUCAGGAGGAACACCGGUGGCGAANGCGGAUCUCUGGGCCGAUACUGACGCUGAGGAGCGAAAGCGUGGGGAGCGAACAGGAUUAGAUACCCUGGUAGUCCACGCCGUAAACGGUGGGCACUAGGUGUGGGCAACAUUCCACGUUGUCCGUGCCGCAGCUAACGCAUUAAGUGCCCCGCCUGGGGAGUACGGCCGCANGGCUAAAACUCAAAGGAAUUGANGGGGGCCCGCACAAGCGGCGGANCAUGUGGCUUAAUUUCGACGCNACGCGANNAACCUUACCAAGGCUUGACAUACACCGGAAAGCAUCANANAUGGUGCCCCCCUUG